CAUCCCCUCAAGUGAAAGCCCUUUAGGCUUGAAACUUGCACAGACCCACUUUACCUUGUGCUUAGUUUUUAUCAAAUAAAUGGGGAUUGUGAUAUUCGAACUCGUGACCGCUUGAUCAUCAAGGUUCUGAUACCA